GACGUAGGGCGCGAGCGUUUGUCCGGAUUUAUUGGGCGUAAAGAGCUCGUAGGCGGCUUGUUGCGUCGACUGUGAAAACCCGCGGCUUAACUGCGGGCUUGCAGUUGAUACGGGCAGGCUAGAGUUCGGUAGGGGGAGACUGGAAUUCCUGGUGUAGCGGUGAAAUGCGCAGAUAUCAGGAGGAACACCGGUGGCGAAGGCGGGGUCUCUGGGGCCGAUACUGACGUGAGGAGCGAAAAGCGUGGGGGAGCGAAACAGG
rnacentral:rRNA from 1 species